rnacentral:rRNA from 1 species
UACGGGGGGGGCAAGCGUUGUUCGGAAUUACUGGGCGUAAAGGGCUCGUAGGCGGCCAACUAAGUCAGACGUGAAAUCCCCAGGCUUAACCUGGGAACUGCGUCUGAUACUGGAUGGCUUGAAUUCGGGAGAGGGAUGCAGAAUUCCAGGUGUAGCGGUGAAAUGCGUAGAUAUCUGGAGGAAUACCGGUGGCGAAGGCUGCAUCCUGGACCGAGAUUGACGCUGAUGAGCGAAAGCUAGGGGAGCAAACGGG